CUGUUGGGUAAGGGCCACAUUAAUGGUUUUAUAUUAUAUUCUAACACGCCCCCUCACGCAAGAGCUCUUUGGGCUUGAAGCGUGGAUAAUUGCACAGGCCCACCUACCAUGUGCUUAAUUAAAUUCCACUUUUUAAUUAGAAAGUGAGGGGAGCAAGGAUCGAACUCUAGACCUCUCGGCCAUAGAGGCUCUGAUACCAUGUCAAAUAACCACUUUAUCCCAAAAGCUUAAGCUGUUGGGUAAGGGCCAUAUGAAUGGUUUUAUAUUAUAUUCUAACACGCCCCCUCACGCAAGAGUCUUUUGGGCUUGAAGCGUGGAUAAAUGCGCAGGCCCACCUACCAUGUGCUUAAUUAAAUUCCACUUUUAAUUAGAAAGUGAGGGGAGCAAGGAUCGAACUCUAGACCUCUCGGCCAUAGAGGCUCUGAUACCAUGUCAAAUAACCACUUUAUCCCAAAAGCUUAAGCUUUUGGGU
rnacentral:lncRNA from 1 species